rnacentral:rRNA from 1 species
AUACGUAGGGGGCAAGCGUUAUCCGGAUUUACUGGGUGUAAAGGGAGCGUAGACGGCGAAGCAAGUCUGAAGUGAAAACCCAGGGCUCAACCCUGGGACUGCUUUGGAAACUGUUUUGCUAGAGUGUCGGAGAGGUAAGUGGAAUUCCUAGUGUAGCGGUGAAAUGCGUAGAUAUUAGGAGGAACACCAGUGGCGAAGGCGCCUUACUGGACGAUAACUGACUUUGAGGCUCGAAAGCGUGGGGAGCAAACAGGAUUAGAUCCCCUGGUAGUCCACGCCGUAAACGAUGAAUGCUAGGUGUUGGGGGGCAAAGCCCUUCGGUGCCGCCGCAAACGCAGUAAGCAUUCCACCUGGGGAGUACGUUCGCAAGAAUGAAACUCAAAUGAAUUGGCGGGG